rnacentral:rRNA from 1 species
GAUGAACGCUAGCGACAGGCCUAACACAUGCAAGUCGAGGGGUAACAUUGUAGCUUGCUACAGAUGACGACCGGCGCACGGGUGCGUAACGCGUAUGAAACCUGCCUUUUUACAGUGGGAUAGCCCAGAGAAAUUUGGAUUAAUACCACAUAGUUCUAUUGAUUCGCCUGUUUCGAUAGAUAAAGUUUCGGCGGUAAAAGAUGGUCAUGCGUGACAUUAGAUUGUUGGUGAGGUAACGGCUCACCAAGUCGACGAUGUCUAGGGGUUCUGAGAGGAAGGUCCCCACACUGGUACUGAGACACGGACCAGACUCCUACGGGAGGCAGCAGUGAGGAAUAUUGGUCAAUGGGCGCAAGCCUGAACCAGCCAUGUCGCGUGAAGGAAGACGGUUCUAUGGAUUGUAAACUUCUUUUGUGCGGGAAUAAAUUUAUCUACGUGUAGAUAAUUGAAGGUACCGUACGAAUAAGCAUCGGCUAACUCCGUG